rnacentral:rRNA from 1 species
UACGAAGGGGGCUAGCGUUGUUCGGAAUUACUGGGCGUAAAGCGCACGUAGGCGGACUAUUAAGUCAGGGGUGAAAUCCCGGGGCUCAACCCCGGAACUGCCUUUGAUACUGGUAGUCUAGAGUCCGGAAGAGGUGAGUGGAAUUCCGAGUGUAGAGGUGAAAUUCGUAGAUAUUCGGAGGAACACCAGUGGCGAAGGCGGCCUCACGUGUCCGGUACUGACGCUGAGGUGCGAAAGCAUGGGGAGCGAACAGG